rfam:Picea glauca, whole genome shotgun sequence.
GGGUGUGAUCGUGCCAGCGUUAAUGCACUAGAUCCCAUCAGAACUCCGCAGUUAAGCGCCCUUGGGCUAGAGUAGUACUAGGAUGGGUGACCUCCCGGGAAGUCCUAUUGUUGCACCCU